rnacentral:rRNA from 1 species
AUUGAACGCUAGCGGGAUGCCUUACACAUGCAAGUCGAACGGAGCGGCGAACGGGUGAGUAAUGUAUCGGAACGUGCCCAGUAGCGGGGGAUAACUACGCGAAAGCGUAGCUAAUACCGCAUACUAUUGGAUCAGCCGAUAUCGGAUUAGCUAGUUGGUGGGGUAACGGCUAACCAAGGCGACGAUCCGUAACUGGUCUGAGAGGACGACCAGCCACAGUGGAACUGAGAAACGGCCCAGACUCCUACGGGAGGCAGCAGUGGGGAAUAUUGGACAAUGGGGGAAAGCCUGAUCCAGCCAUGCCGCGUGUGCGAUGAAGGCCUUCGGGUUGUAAAGCACUUUAGGCAGGAAGGCGGUACCUACAGAAUAAGCACCGGCUAACUACGGGCCAGCAGCCGCGGUAAUAC